UACGUAGGUGGCGAGCGUUGUCCGGAAUUACUGGGUGUAAAGCGCGUGUAGGCGGUAGGCCAAGUCUGUGGUGAAAUCGCUCGGCUUAACUGGGCGGGGUCCAUGGAAACUGGUCACCUGGAGGUCGGUAGAGGCAAGUGGAAUUCCCGGUGUAGUGGUGAAAUGCGUAGAGAUCGGGAGGAACACCAGUGGCGAAGGCGGCUUGCUGGGCCGGACCUGACGCUGAGACGCGAAGGCGUGGGGAGCGAACGGG
rnacentral:rRNA from 1 species